UAAUUACUCCCUUCGUUCCAAAUUACUUGUAUAAAAAACGGAUAAAAAUGGAUGUAUCUACAACUAAAAUACGUCUAGAUCCAUCCACUUCUGUGACAAGUAAUUCCAAACGGAAGGAGUACUUA
rfam:Triticum aestivum genome assembly, contig: Triticum_aestivum_CS42_TGACv1_scaffold_211073_3AS